rnacentral:rRNA from 1 species
CCCUCCCUCUGGCGGCAGGCCUAACACAUGCAAGUCGAGCGCCCUUUCGGGGGAGCGGCGGACGGGUGAGUAACGCGUGGGAAUAUGCCCUUCUCUACGGAAUAGCCUCGGGAAACUGAGAGUAAUACCGUAUACGCCCUGUGGGGGAAAGAUUUAUCGGGGAAGGAUUAGCCCGCGUUGGAUUAGGUAGUUGGUGGGGUAAUGGCCUACCAAGCCGACGAUCCAUAGCUGGUUUGAGAGGAUGAUCAGCCACACUGGGACUGAGACACGGCCCAGACUCCUACGGGAGGCAGCAGUGGGGAAUCUUAGACAAUGGGGGCAACCCUGAUCUAGCCAUGCCGCGUGAGUGAUGAAGGCCUUAGGGUUGUAAAGCUCUUUCAGCUGGGAAGAUAAUGACGGUACCAGCAGAAGAAGCCCCGGCUAACUCCGUG